UGGCUGCCCCCCCCCCCCAUUCCCGCUCGGGGCCUCACCUCAGCCUAGCGGGCUACGACCCCUCACUCUGCCCAAGUUCACUCGUCUUUGCUGGGUGCUGGCGAACCCCAUAAAGGACGCGCGCAGGGCCAGCUGCCCCGUCGCUGCGCCGGGCUACUCGGCGGUACGGGUUAUGGGAGUCGGGACAUCCGACGGCAGUCCCCUUCAGAUAUUUACUGACCUGUUCAACCCUGUGAUCCAGGAGCAACACAGUGGCUAUGACUCCCAGAUGUUAAAGCACACCACUGACCUGGAUGCCAUAAGGUCAUUGCCAAGGCCAGGCUCCCAUGUGAAUUCUAGAAACAUGAUCGGAUCUGUAUACCUCAUAAGUGCUCAAACAGGUCAGGUAUUACUCAUCUACUUGGUGCACUUUGAUAAGGCGUAAGGGGAGGUUUGGAAGCAGACCCACCUUGGGAAAUAAGGAUGGUGCCUUCAGCUACUGC
rnacentral:lncRNA from 1 species